AGCGAACGCUGGCGGCAGGCCUAACACAUGCAAGUCGAACGAACCUUUCGGGGUUAGUGGCGGACGGGGGAGGACGACGUGGGGACGUGCAUUUAGGUUCGGAAUAAUUCAGGGAAACUUGUGUUAAGACCGAAUGGGCCCUUCGGGGGAAAGAUUUAUCGCGUUUGGAGCGGCCUGCGUAUGAUUAGUUGGUUGGGUGAGGUAAUGGCUCACCAAGGCGACGAUCAGUGGCUGUUCUGAGAGGAUGCUCCGCCACAUUGGGACUAAGACACGGCCCAAACUCCUACGGGAGGCUGGAGUGGGGAAUCUUAUAGAAUGGGGCCAGACCUGAUCUCGCCACGUCGCGUGAGUCAUGAAUGCCUUAGUGUUGUAAAGCUCUCUCAGCUGAGAAGAUAAUGACGGUACCAGCAGAAGAAGCCCCGGCUAACUCCGUG
rnacentral:rRNA from 1 species